CAAAGAACUCCAUAAUGACUCAGCUAUUCUCAAUCAGGCUGUGUUAAAACCACUCAGGUUGAGCAUGGGGAAGCUCAGCCGGUACAAGUGGUAGUCAGUGUUCCCCUGACAGUAUAAUUUUUAUGGUGUUUGUUUUAUCAAACAUAAAUGUGCAACUUGACUGCCACAAACUUCCAGAAAGAAAAAAAACACAAAGAUAUCAUCGCAGAACAUAAAAUAAGGUCUAUAUUCAGCUUCUCUGGAGAAGAGCAGAAAAAUCUACUGCUGUGAAGCAUGUCUUCUUAUGAAAAGAGUUCAGAAGGAAAAAUGUCUGAGCUUCUCUGGAGAAGAGCAGAAAAUCUGCUGCCGUGAAGUAUGUCCUCUUAUGAAAAGAGUUCAUGUAAGUAACAUGUUUUGGAGUCCCUUAACAGACAAACAAGCAAAUCAACAAAGACAAGAUGUGCACAGAAGAAUUUAGUGGUAUUGAUUGAAAUGACAUAUUUAAAUAUCAAAAUUUAAAUGGAAUAUAAAUGGAAUUAAGGGUUUCUAUGCAGACAUGGAGACAUAAAACUAGGUGAUUUACAUUUGGGAUUUCAGUAAUUUCUCACAACAUUUUUAUUUAAUGGCUAUUAUUAUUUCUGUUUUACAGAUUCAAACACUAACUUUAAAGAUUAUUAUGUGCAACCAACUUAACUGCUCUAUGGCAGAACUGGGAUUAAAAUUCAAGUUUGACAAUUUUCAAAAUCCUUCUCAAAAUUAGCUCAAUGUAACCUUUCCACAAUGUACACAUAUUUCAAAACAUUAUGUUGUGCAUGAUAAACCCAUACAAUUUUUAUUUGCCAGUUGUACAUAAAUAAUUGAUUAAUUAAACCAACCAACCAACACACACCCACACCAAAAACCUUCUUUGAAACUGUAAGCAUGGAAAAUACUGAAGUUUUCACCUGAAUGAAUUAAAAUCUCAAUUUAAAUAUGAUUGAAACCAAAUUAAAUUUGAACUUCUUGUAUUUAUUGAACUUCUGUUAAAUAAAUUGCACGUCCAAAAGGACACUUGUACUUUAUUAGCCUUUUCCAUCUUCCAGCUGGGGAUGUAUGGUAGUGGUAGUGGGAAGUGGGGAAAGGAAUAUAAUUGAGGAAUUAAGUAAAUAAUUCAAAAACCUUUAGAAUGUAAGUGCGAACUCUAUACCAGAAAGUAGAAUUUCACAUUUGCUUUCCAGUGCAUGAAAAGUCAAGGCUAUUGAUGGACAGUCUAUUUCUUAGACAAUGUGAAUUUCUAAAAAUUGACCAAACAAUGAGGUCUAUUUAUUUGAGGAAUAGGAUUCAUAUGCAACACGAGUUCAUACCUCAGACCUUGGAUAAGUUCAACUAAAGUGACACAGCUAUUUAAUCAAAAGAUGAGAGCACUCCAAUGACAACUUCUUAAAUUGAUCUGGAAUUUGAUUGCUGUGUAGGUAUAAUAUUAGCCAAACACAACUUUUGUUUCAUGUGUACUUUUGCAGCUAAGUAACAUAAGUUAUAUAAUCACCUUUAACAUUACUGCCAGAUAUUGUAUGAAUAUUUAAGAAUAACUGCAUUUUAACUUAAAUUAAAAGCCAUUUGUCUUUGAUUAACUAUACUUAUUCCAGAUUGUUAAACAAUGUGCUUGACAUUCACUUGAGAGUUUUGAGAAGGCACGUAGUUUUGUUGUGUUUGCUGGCAGUUCAAUCUUUGUGUAUACACACAUGCAUUUAACGACUGUAAAGAAGAGAUCACAAAUUCGUGAUGCGCAACUAGAACAUAAAUUAUUUUCAUUGCAAGCUAUAACUGCAACGACAAGAGAAGUUUUAUGAUACAUUUUUGUCACUAAUAUGAAUGUUAAAGAGUUGAGAAUUUACGUGUUAGGAGGCACGCUCAACUAGAUUGUGAAACAAUAGUUUCUAACAGCUCUGAAGGAGCUAUUAGAUUGUGUAAAAAAAUGUGUUCUAAAAAGUCCCUAAAUAUGUAUUUAUAUAAUUGGAGCUAUUAUGGUUUAUUGUAUCAAUUACUCAUGUACUAAAGAAGAAAGAACCAACAGCUUAAAACACUUUCAUUAAAGGGGUUGGCAGUUACACACAAGCAACCCAAUCUUGAGCCUUUGAAGAGGUUAAGACAAACAAUGUAAAUGUUCUUGUAAAAUUAUCUGUAAUAUCUCUAAACACAACUUCUACUUGGGAAUAAAAAUAGUGUGUAUUUGUAAUGAUGAUCAAAUAAGGAUUAUAGAAUUGUUACAGGAUGAAAAUCAUACCCCGUACAUUGUGUCAAGCUAUUUUAAAAUAAAAAGAAAUGAAAGUAGGGGAAGAAAAGCCUGAAUUUUUGUAGACACUACCAAGACUGGCUUUCUGAUUUUGUUUAAUUGACAUCUAUAUAUGAAGACACUAAUAAAUAGCCUUUGCUUCAGGUUUUGUUGUUGUUAUUGUUUUAUGCAUUUAAUCUAGAUUGGAGGAAAAGGAAUUCUAUACAGGAAAUGCUAAUUAACAAUACAGAACGAAAGCACAAGAAAUGUGAUGCAGCUUUAAUUGUCAAAUCUUAAAUACUACAGCUUCAGAGAAUGUGUAAAUAAAUUUGUGACAGAAUGUUUUUUGCAGUUUUCAUUCAUUGUCAUUUUCCAGGGGGUUUUGAUGUAAAGAGUUUUCAUUUGCAGAUAUAGAGGACAAAGAUAAUAGUAGGGCAGGAAAUAAUUUACAAACUAGCAGGCUGAAUUAUUAUAAUAAAUCUCACUUGGCUAAAGAUGAUAAUGAUGUGAUAAUAACUGUUUCUUUCCCUAUUAUUCUCUAUGGAGUGAACUUAGUAAAAAUAACUUGGUGGGCAUUUCAACAGACACAUUGGAAGUUUACUAUUUCCUUUGAGUUAGGUAGGGCUGAAUGGUUGAUAUACACUGGGGGAUUUUAACAUUAUACAUAACUUUGCAAGUGUAGAAAUGACCAAUAUAAGCUAAAAAUUUUAAAUUGUUCCACAAGAUAUUCUUGGGCAUUUUUAUCCCCUGGUAGAUUUUCAGACACUGAGGUUCCCCCUAAUGCAAUAUAAAAAUGUUAAAAUAAUACCUAGUUCACAAUUAAGAAUUGAGGUUUCUUAAUGUUCUAUGUAAAUAAUAACAUAAUCAAAACUACUUUUCAAACACCAUGUUUUUUGCUUUUAUUAAUUUUCCUAUCUAGCCCACUAAGUACUGCACUAAUCAACAUAUAUUAUUGGCCAAUUAGCAUGAACAUUAAAACUAGGAAUGUUGGCAUUUUAAUCCUAAGAAAUAAAUAACUCAAUAGGGGAAAUAUGUCACCUACCACCAUUCAGCUAAUUGAGUAAAGAAAAACUAUAUCUACAUAAUGCACAUAAAGUUAGUAUAAGUUUAGUUGGGCAUUUGUCUUGAUAGAUGUUAAAAUCCCUGUAGAAUUUACUUUGAUUAUUAAACUCAAAAAUUUUUUUUUUGUUUUACAAAAAUAUUUUUUACACUCCAGGAAUUUACUUUAAUGAUAAUAUUUACAUUUCUAUAUUUUUGAAUUUAAUAAAAUAAUUAUAAUAAGUACAAGUAAGUGUGUAUUGAAUACUGAUUAUGUACCAGUCAUUGUGCUAAAUACUUUAUAUGAAAUAACCCUUUUAGUAUCAAAAUAGCCCUAGGAAGAAGCUGGGGGAGCUCAUGAGGUUAGCAAGAAACCUUAAACAAAUAGCUGGGAAGUGACAAAGAAUUACAUUUAAUAAAAAGAAGUAUCAUUACUUUAAUUUUGUUAUUCUGCUUAUAUAUGUUGGUUCACUUUGCCAAGAAAUUCCCUCAAUCCCAUUCCCCUUUCAUACUGAUAAAUAAAAGCUGUCUAUAAUUCAAAGUUCAAUUUAUAUUUUCUCUAAGAAGCCUUUCUACAUCUCUUUACCUGAAGCAUCUCCAACAUUCCAAACUUCCAUAGUAGAAGGUAAACCUUCAUUGAGCACCCAUUAUACUCUACUCUUUUAUUAAAUUAUGCAUACAAGAAUUUAUUUAGCUUAAUUGUAUUGUGACUUUAUUUUUUAUUUUGUGGGUAUAUAAUGGGUAUAUAUGUAUGGGUUAUAUGAGACAUUUUGAUACAGGCAUGCAAUGUCUAAUAAUCAUAUGUGGGUAAAUGGGGUAUCUAUCACCACAAGCAUUUAUUCUUUGUGUUACAAACAACCCAGUUACACUCUUCUAGUUAUUUUUAAAUGUACAGCUAAAUUAUUUUUGAUUAUACUCACCCUGUUAUGUUAGCCAAUACCAGGUCUUAUUCUAUCCUAAUUAUAUUAUAAAUGACAGGAGGUCAGGAAUUAUGGUUCUGUUAUACUAGUGUCUUCUGCAGACUCCACUAAAAUAAGCAUUUGCUGAAUUUAUGCUGUAUUCCUCUAUUUAUAAAUACAGUAUACUUAGUUUAAUAAAAUUCAAAUUACAUUUUAUGAUAUCAUGUAAAGCAAUAAAAAUUCAUGCACUAUAGAAAAAUAUAAUUGUUCUACUUCUAAUAAGAUAGUUAAAUAGAAAAAUAAUACAAGAUACCAUAAUGACUAAUAAUGUCAAUUAAGGACCACAGUAAUAAAGGACCACAGUAAUAUAAAACAGGAUAACAAAAUUGAAAAAAAUUUACAUUGAUUAUUUUUGAUACUAUUGCAUCCUUUAGAAAAAGAUAGUCAACACUAACCCUUCAUAAAAUCUACUGCAAUAAUAAUUUAAAUAAUGGUUUUGAUUUUAUUUUGUGUCCAUAUUUCAUUAAUUAAAACAUUACUCGGCCGAGCAUGGUGGCUCAUGGCUGUAAUCCCAGGACGUUGGGAUCCAUCCACGAGGUGGAUGGAUCACCUGAGAUUAGGAGUUUAAGACAAGCCUGGCCUACAUGAUGAAACCCUGUCCCUACUAAAAAUACAAAAAAACAGCUGGGCAUGGGGGUGGGUGCCUGUAAUGCCAGCUACUGGAGAGGCUGAGGCAAGGAGAAUCGCUUGAACCCAGGAGGCAGAGGUUGCAGUGAGCCGAGAUCACACCAUUGCACUCCAGUCUGGGCAACAAGAGUGAAACUCCAUCUCAAUUUAAAAAAAAAAAUUACUCAAAGAGAAAAGCAUACGCGUUAGCAGAAAAUACUUUGAAAUUUCCCAGAAUGUAAGCUAUCUUUUUCAAAUUAAUGACGUAAAGUUAUAUAUGAGAAAAGGUCUUGGUGGGUAGGGGGGAUUGAGGUUUCAUAAAAUCAGUGAUUAAAAUAUUUUAAUAUAUUCUUUUUUAUAUUUAUUUAGAUAUCACCUACAUUUAAAGCAGUUAUUUGGUAAAUUCUGCUUUAUUUCUGAUAAUAGUAGACAGAGAUGAGAAGUAACAAUAAUGUUUUCAAAUACCUAAAUGCCACCUUUUUUUAAAAAAAAAAGCAAAUAGAAUUCUUGUGAACUUCCUUCUGACAUUUUUAACAAGUUUUUCUGUUCACAUAUUGUUUUUAUUAAAGCAUUUGCAUUUGCACUUUGUGAAAUAAAAUUUGAUACACCAGAAACCUGUUCCACCAUUAUCUCUUGAGACCUUGAGGUAAUAAAAAGUUCAUACUACAGCUCUUCAUCUUCUUUUACAACUACUGCAAAUAAAGGGCACCUAUCUGGGACACAAAAACCAAAGAGAAGAAAAAUAUGUCAUUUUGCUUUUGCUAUUGUUGAUGAUGAUGAUUUUAAAGAUGGCAAAUAAAUACACUGAUUUUUUUAUCUCUUAAAAUGGUCCAUCCAAGGCAUUCCCAUGUAACCUUUCCAUAUUUAAAAUAUUAAGUUGAACAUAAUGCCCAUUCAAAAAUAUGUUCUUGGCACACACCAGACACUUAAAUGCAAAAACAAAUUUCUUUUUUUUUUUGAGAUGGAGUUUUGCUCUUGUUGCCCAAGCUGGGGUGUGAUGGCGUGAUCUCGGCCCACUGCAACCUCCACCUCCCUGGUUCAAGCGAUUCUCCUGCCUCAGCCUCCCGAGUAGCUGGGAUUACAGGCAUGCGCAACCACGUCCGGCUAUUUUUUUGUAUUUUUAGUAGAAACGGGGUUUUUCCAUGUUAGCCAGCUGGUCUUGAACUCCUGACCUCAGGUAAUCCACUCGCCUUGGCCUCCCAAAGUGCUGGGAUUACAGGCGUGAGCCACCGCACCCGGCCAACAAAUUUCUUAUAUGUUGAAAGUACUGACUCUGAACAACUGGAGUAUAGCUAGCACAUCUCUGAAGUUUGGAAACUGACAUAGGCAAAGCAGAUCACCAGAAUGUAAUUACAUGUGGCUGUAGCUAAACUAUCCUUGGUAGGCACUUCUAUAUUUAUAAUGUUACUAAAUAAAUAUGAAAACACAUUAUAUUUAUCCACCAAGGUUAUUUUCUAGAAAAAUUAUGUUCUACACAAUUUAAGAAAGUAAUGAAGAAUGUUUGGCAUAACUAUAGUGUCAUGAGUAUAAAAGGUAAUGACCAACUUCUCUUAGCAAAUGGACACAUUUUUUUAAAAUUUGCCUAUGAGAUUGUCUAUGAAAAUAAAUGUUUACUAGAGAAAGUCAGAUUUAGCAAUACUAAAUAUGUACUUGAAUUAUUUCUCAUAUGAAAUUUACAUGGAGGCUGGGUGCAGUGGCUUACACCUGUAAUCCCAACACUUUGGGAGGCCAAGCUGGGCCGUCAGGAGGUCAGGAGUUUGAGACCAGCCUGGCCAACAUGGUGAAACCCCGUCUCUACUAAAAAUACAAAAAAAUUAGCAGAGCGUGGUGACACGGGCCUGUAGUCCCAGCUAACCAGGGGCUGAGGCAGGAGAAUCGCUUCAUCUAAGAAGGCGGAGGGUGCAGUGAGGUGAGAUUGCCUCACUGCUCUCCAGCCUGGGUGACAGAGCGAGCCUCCCUCUCCAAAAACAAAAGAAGAAAAGAAAUUCACAUGGAAUUAAUGUUUAUCUAGUAUUUAUUCCUCCUAUGGUAAGAGUUUUAUAUAUUAUCAUAAUGAUAGGCCAGAAUUUUAAAUGCACUAAGAGCUGACACAUAAUCUGCUGGUUGAAUGAAAGAACUUAGCUAAUUCCAUGGAAACUUCUAAUUCUUUUUUUUUUGUUGUUGUUGUUUUCUUUUUGAGACGGAUUCUCACUCUGUCGCCCAGGCUGGAGUCCAGUUGGCGCGAUCUCGGCUCACUGCAACCUCCGCCUCCUGGGUUCAAGCAAUUCUCCUGCCUCAGCCUCCCAAGUAGCUGGGAUUCCGUGUGCCGCCGCACCUGGCUAAUUUGUAUUUUUAGUAGAAAUGGGGUUUCACCUUGUUAGCCAGGAUGGUCUCGAUUUCCUGUCCCUCGUGAUCCGCCCACCUCGGCCUCCCAAAGUGCUGGGAUUACAGGCGUGAGUCACCGCACCCACCCAGAAACUUCUAAUUCUUAAAGGACCAAGAGAUAUGCUUAUGAAGAGAGCUGCUUCUUAGAAGAUUGUUAUAGGGGACUAGAUGAAGUGAGUAUUUGUAUGCACAAUGUUUGUAUAAAUUUAGAAGAAGAACAAAAUUAAGAUAAGUCAACAUUUGUUGAGCACCUUUUGUGUAGGAGUGUUAGAUUUUUCAUUUAAAGAGGUAUCGCUGAUGUGAAAGGAAACUAAUAUCAUUACAAUGUGAUGAGUGCAAUAAGUGAGGUAGGCUUCAAGUGCAGCAGGAUCUCAAGACAUGAGAAAGGAGGGAUCUAACUAUGGGAGGCAUGUGGGAACCUAAGGUAACCUAGAUUUUCCAACUAGUUGUUCAUUUCAUAUUUUAAUUUUAAAAGGGAUGGAGUUCCUUGGUACCUGGCUAAAUGAAUAAAGACCAAUAUUUUUGUCUUUCUUUUUUUAAUUUUUAUUUUUUUGAGACAGAGUCUUUCUCUGUCUCCCAGGCUGGCAUGCAGUGGUGCCAUCUCUGCUCACCGCAACAUCCCCUUCCCGGGUUCAAGCGAUGCUCCUGACUCAGUCUCCCUUGUAGCUGGGAUUACAAGGUGUGUCACCACGCCCAGCUAACUUUUCGUAGUUUUAGUAGAGAUAGGGUUUCACUGUGUUGGCCAGGCUGGUCUCAAACUCCUGACCUCAGGUGAUCCACCUGCCUCAGCCUCCCAGAGUGCUGAGAUUACAUGAGUGAACCACCAUGCCCAGCCUAUUUUUGUCUUAUUCCGCAUUUUAAGGAAUUCAUCAACAUUUAAAAAGACUAUAAACAAGGUGGAAAAAACUUCUAUAGAAUAUAAAUAUACAAUAUUCCACUCUAAUUAUUUUUUUAAAAAAUUGUCUCUUCUACAUCUCUGCCAUAUAGGAAACAUUUUGCAACCAUGAGCAAAACUGGAACAGUUGCUAAAGUUCUUAGGCUCAGAGGAGAUUGGACAGCUAGUCCUCAUUUUGGCCCGGAUGGACUUCACUUAUUGCAGCCAUUUAAGUCUUACUUCCUUCUUGACCUGGGUAUAAUCAGUCUCUUACAAGGACCCUAAUUUGAAAAUACAUACUAUAUAAUUCUUGAAUAUUUUCUUUUCUUUAUAUUAUAAUUUUGUCAUUUAAAUGUUAUGAUAUAUAUAUUUUAUUUACUCAACUAUAUCAGUAAUCAUUUUGGUGUGGGAAUGUAAAUUGUAACUAUAGGUAAAAAGUAUACAUCUCAAAUAACUAUGUAGAUUUACUGUGGAAAACAAAAACUCCAGAAUAUCUGAUAGAAAAAUUCAACAUUUUAAAGAAAUAUCAUGUAAAACUUACAUUUUAUUAGUUUAAAAGUAGAAUUUGAUGUCUGUGAUAUGGGGUAGCAAAAAAAUGUAGAAUUUAAAAAUGAGUAAAAAUUCAUGGAAGCAGUUAUUUUUAUUCUUAUUGUUAUUUCUAUUAUUAUUGCAGGCUAAAAUUGGAUAAGCAUAUUUGAACAAUACUUUCCUCCUCUCCCAGCCCCAUAUCCAUAUACAUCAGCUAAAUAUUCAUGAUGAUUUUACUUAUAUUGUUCUUCUGGUAAUGGUACUAGAUCACUGAUGAAUACCCCUCCUUUGAUUUGUCAUUUUUAAG
rnacentral:lncRNA from 1 species